rnacentral:rRNA from 1 species
UACGAAGGGGGCGAGCGUUGUUCGGAUUUACUGGGCGUAAAGGGCGCGCAGGCGGCUCAUUUUGUCAGGCGUGAAAGCCCCGGGCUUAACCUGGGAACUGCGUUUGAUACGGAUGGGCUAGAGUUCGGGAGAGGAGAGUGGAAUUCCCAGUGUAGAGGUGAAAUUCGUAGAUAUUGGGAAGAACACCGGUGGCGAAGGCGGUCUGCUGGGCAGUUGCUGACACUGAGGAGCGAAAGCGUGGGGAGCGAACAGG